CGUGGGGGCAGGCCUAACACAUGCAAGUCGAGCGGAUGAAGGGAGCUUGCUCCUGGAUUCAGCGGCGGACGGGUGAGUAAUGCCUAGGAAUCUGCCUGGUAGUGGGGGACAACGUUUCGAAAGGAACGCUAAUACCGCAUACGUCCUACGGGAGAAAGCAGGGGACCUUCGGGCCUUGCGCUAUCAGAUGAGCCUAGGUCGGAUUAGCUAGUUGGUGAGGUAAUGGCUCACCAAGGCGACGAUCCGUAACUGGUCUGAGAGGAUGAUCAGUCACACUGGAACUGAGACACGGUCCAGACUCCUACGGGAGGCAGCAGUGGGGAAUAUUGGACAAUGGGCGAAAGCCUGAUCCAGCCAUGCCGCGUGUGUGAAGAAGGUCUUCGGAUUGUAAAGCACUUUAAGUUGGGAGGAAGGGUUGUAGAUUAAUACUCUGCAAUUUUGACGUUACCGACAGAAUAAGCACCGGCUAACUCUGUGCCAGCAGCCGCGGUAAUACAGAGGGUGCAAGCGUUAAUCGGAAUUACUGGGCGUAAAGCGCGCGUAGGUGGUUCGUUAAGUUGGAUGUGAAAUCCCCGGGCUCAACCUGGGAACUGCAUCCAAAACUGGCGAGCUAGAGUAUGGUAGAGGGUGGUGGAAUUUCCUGUGUAGCGGUGAAAUGCGUAGAUAUAGGAAGGAACACCAGUGGCGAAGGCGACCACCUGGACUGAUACUGACACUGAGGUGCGAAAGCGUGGGGAGCAAACAGGAUUAGAUACCCUGGUAGUCCACGCCGUAAACGAUGUCAACUAGCCGUUGGGAGCCUUGAGCUCUUAGUGGCGCAGCUAACGCAUUAAGUUGACCGCCUGGGGAGUACGGCCGCAAGGGUUAAAACUCAAAUGAAUUGACGGGGGGCCCGCACAAGCGGGUGGAGCAUGUGGUUUAAUUCGAAAGCAACGCGAAGAACCCUUACCAGGCCUUUGACAUCCCAAUGAACUUUCCAGAGAUGGGAUUUGGUGGCCCUUCGGGGAACAUUUGAGACAGGUUGCCUGCAUUG
rnacentral:rRNA from 1 species